rnacentral:rRNA from 1 species
GACGAACGCUGGCGGCGUGCUUAGCACAUGCAAGUCGAACGGAAAGGCCCUGCUUUUGUGGGGUGCUCGAGUGGCGAACGGGUGAGUAACACGUGAGUAACCUGCCCUUGACUUUGGGAUAACUUCAGGAAACUGGGGCUAAUACCGGAUAGGAGCUCCUGCUGCAUGGUGGGGGUUGGAAAGUUUCGGCGGUUGGGGAUGGACUCGCGGCUUAUCAGCUUGUUGGUGGGGUAGUGGCUUACCAAGGCUUUGACGGGUAGCCGGCCUGAGAGGGUGACCGGCCACAUUGGGACUGAGAUACGGCCCAGACUCCUACGGGAGGCAGCAGUGGGGAAUAUUGCACAAUGGGCGGAAGCCUGAUGCAGCAACGCCGCGUGCGGGAUGACGGCCUUCGGGUUGUAAACCGCUUUCGCCUGUGACGAAGCGUGAGUGACGGUAAUGGGUAAAGAAGCACCGGCUAACUACGUG